rnacentral:misc_RNA from 1 species
CCGAGUUCUCGCCCUCGCGGGUAGACCUCUCACCCACUGUUAUCACUACCAUUGUUGCUUUGGCGGGCCGCCAGAUCAGGCCUGGCCGCCGGCUCCUGCCGGCGCGCGCCCGCCAGAGGCCCCGAAAACACUUAAUAUUAGCGACGUCCGAGUACUAUAUAAUAGUUA